UACGUAGGGGGCUAGCGUUGUCCGGAAUCAUUGGGCGUAAAGAGCGCGUAGGCGGUCCGGUAAGUCCGCUCUGAAAGUCCGGGGCUCAACCCCGGGAGGCGGGCGGAUACUGUCGGGCUAGAGUCCGGAAGAGGCGAGUGGAAUUCCUGGUGUAGCGGUGAAAUGCGCAGAUAUCAGGAGGAACACCAAUGGCGAAGGCAGCUCGCUGGGACGGUACUGACGCUGAGGCGCGAAAGCGUGGGGAGCAAACAGG
rnacentral:rRNA from 1 species